rnacentral:rRNA from 1 species
GACGAACGUUGGCGGCGUGCCUAAUACAUGCAAGUCAACUGAAAUACCGGUAGCAAUACUGGUAUGGAGGUGGCGCACGGGUGAGUAACACGUAGGUAAUCUGCCUUCAGGUCUGACAUAACCCAUCGAAAGGUGAGCUAAUAUCAGAUGAUGCAGCGGCUUGACAUCAAGACAGUUGUUAAAGCUUCGGCGCCUGAAGAUGAGCCUGCGUCUGAUUAGCUAGUUGGCGGGU